rnacentral:rRNA from 1 species
GAUGAACGCUAGCUACAGGCUUAACACAUGCAAGUCGAGGGGCAGCAUGGGGCAGCAAUGUCCCGAUGGCGACCGGCGCACGGGUGAGUAACACGUAUCCAACCUGCCCAUGACCAGGGAAUAACCCGCGGAAACGCGGCCUAAUGCCCUAUGUGCUCCGAAGAGGACAUCUGAUUUGGAGUAAAGAUUCAUCGGUCAUGGAUGGGGAUGCGUCCGAUUAGGUAGUAGGCGGGGCAACGGCCCACCUAGCCUGCGAUCGGUAGGGGUUCUGAGAGGAAGGUCCCCCACAUUGGAACUGAGACACGGUCCAAACUCCUACGGGAGGCAGCAGUGAGGAAUAUUGGUCAAUGGGCGAGAGCCUGAACCAGCCAAGUAGCGUGCAGGAUGACGGCCCUAUGGGUUGUAAAGCCCUUUUGUACGGGAAGAAAUCAUCCGGGUUAAUACCCUGGGUGGAUGACGGUACCGUAAGAAUAAGCAACCGGCUAACUUCGUGCCAGCAGCCGAC